CUGGGCAGGUCCUCUUUAGAACCAGCCUAGCUACGUGGCAGAGGAAUCAACCCUUGGAUGGGUUGGACAAAUUCAGGGGUCCUGUGGCCCUGGAGAUGGGUCCAGUCCACAUCAUCUUCUGUGAUGCGGGAGCCAGAGAGCUGAAUGUCCCUUUCUGAGCCUCGGCAGCAUCAUCUAACGAGAGACUGCAUGCACUCUGGAGAAGUUGUGUAAAAGAUGGGGGACCCACCACUGGGGCCACUCACAGGGUGUGUGGAGCGAGCAUCAUGGAGGAGCAUGUGGUGAUAAUUCUCGACUCCUUGGCUGUGCCACACAGCUGAUCGCCCUUCUGGUCCUGAGCCAGGCAGGACCUGUGACAAGAUGCCAAGCCUCCCUGGCCUUCUGUUUCUCUAGAUAAAUGAAGCACCUCAUUAAAUGUGACCCUACUACGAGGUAAUGGGAAGAAUGUAUCAGGCCCAGGACUCUGAGAGCUCACUGACCGCCUCUGCAGCUCUGGAAGAGGCUGAGAAGGGACCAGUCUGAUGGCUGAGGUGAGAGCUCAUACCUGCGUGACUGCGUCUCCAGUGCUGAUGUCUGGCACAGGAGACCUAUCCUGGGGCUUUGAAAAAGCUGAAGUUAAGGUGUGCAAUGCAUUGGAUCAAUGACCAGCUUAUGACAAAUUCUCCAUAAAUGAUACCACUUCCCUAUGGGAGGAGUGAUAUUUUAUACAUAAGUGUGCCUGUGUAUGCACACAUGCAUGUGUAUGUGCCAGACUCUGCAUUAAACUCUAUA